rnacentral:rRNA from 1 species
AUGAUGUUCUUGGGGAAUUCCCAUGGGAACCAAAGGGGGCGAGCGUAAGCAGCUUCCACCAAAGGAGGAGCCUGCGUCCGAUUAGCUAGUUGGUGGGGUAACGGCCUACCAAGGCGACGAUCGGUAGCCGGCCUGAGAGGGCGACCGGCCACACUGGAACUGAGACACGGUCCAGACUCCUACGGGAGGCAGCAGUGGGGAAUAUUGCGCAAUGGGCGAAAGCCUGACGCAGCGACGCCGCGUGGGUGAUGAAGGCCUUCGGGUCGUAAAGCCCUGUCUGGUGGAACGAAACGCCUGGCGGCCAAUACCUGCCGGGUUUGACGGUACCACCGAAGGAAGCCCCGGCUAACUACGUGCCAGCAGCCGCGGUAAGACGUAGGGGGCGAGCGUUGUUCGGAUUUACUGGGCGUAAAGCGCGCGUAGGCGGCCAGAUAAGUCGGGUGUGAAAGCCCUCGGCUCAACCGAGGUUCCGCAUCCGAUACUGCUUGGCUGGAGUCUAGGAGAGGAGAGCGGAAUUCCCAGUGUAGCGGUGAAAUGCGUAGAUAUUGGGAGGAACACCCGUGGCGAAGGCGGCUCUCUGGACUAGUACUGACGCUGAGGCGCGAAAGCUAGGGGAGCGAACGGGAUUAGAUACCCCGGUAGUCCUAGCCGUAAACGAUGGGCACUAGGUGUGGGAGGUAUUGACCCCUUCCGCGCCGAAGCUAACGCAUUAAGUGCCCCGCCUGGGGAGUACGGCCGCAAGGCUAAAACUCAAAGGAAUUGACGGGGGCCCGCACAAGCGGUGGAGCAUGUGGUUCAAUUCGACGCAACGCGAAGAACCUUACCAGGGCUUGACAUCCCACGAACCUGCCUGAAAGGGUAGGGUGCCCGCAAGGGAGCGUGGAGACAGGUGGUGCAUGGCUGUCGUCAGCUCGUGUCGUGAGAUGUUGGGUUAAGUCCCGCAACGAGCGCAACCCUCACCCCUAGUUGCCACCGGGUAAUGCCGAGCACUCGAGGGGAACUGCCAGCGUCAAGCUGGAGGAAGGCGGGGAUGACGUCAAGUCAUCAUGCCCCUUACGUCCUGGGCUACACACGUGCUACAAUGGCCGGUACAAAGGGAUGCGAGACCGCGAGGUGGAGCCAAUCCCAAAAAGCUGGUCUAAGUUCGGAUUGCAGUCUGCAACUCGACUGCAUGAAGUAGGAAUCGCUAGUAAUCGCGCAUCAGCACGGCGCGGUGAAUACGUUCCCGGGCCUUGUACACACCGCCCGUCACACCACGAAAGCUGGCUGUACUCGAAGUCGCUGAGCCAACCCGCAAGGGAGGCAGGCGCCGAAGGUAUGGUUAGGGAUUGGGGUGAAGUCGUAACAAGGUAGCCGUACG